rnacentral:tRNA from 1 species
AAAAAAUUAGUUAAUAAUAAUAACAUUAGUUUGUCAAGCUAAAAUAAAUUUAUUUAUAAAUUAUUUUUUA